rnacentral:rRNA from 1 species
AUUGAACGCUGGCGGCAGGCCUAACACAUGCAAGUCGAGCGCGCGGGGGACGGGUGAGUAAUGUAUGGGGGCUGCCCGAGAGAGGGGGGUAACUACUGGAAACGGGAUCUAAUACCGCAUACUAUCGGAUAACCCCUAGGGGGUUAGCUAGGCGGUGAGGUAAUGGCUCACCGGGGCGCCGAUCCCUAGCUGGUCUGAGAGGAUGAUCAGCCACACUGGGACUGAGACACGGCCCAGACUCCUACGGAGGCAGCAGUGGGGAAUAGUGCACAAUGGGCGCAAGCCUGAUGCAGCCAUGCCGCGUGUAUGAAGAAGGCCCUAGGGUUGUAAAGUACUUUCAGCCGGGAGGCGUUACCGACAGAAGAAGCACCGGCUAACUCCGUGCCAGCAGCCGCGGUAAUAC